rnacentral:rRNA from 1 species
UAUCUCUGUAGAGUCUGCAUAUCAAUAAGCGGAGGAAAAGAAACUAACUAGGAUUCCCUUAGUAACGGCGAGUGAAGCGGGAAGAGCUCAAAUUUGAAAUCUUCAAGGUUCUGCCUUGACGAAUUGUAGUUUAAAGAAGUGUUUUCUGUUGGAGUUUUGGUAAAAGUUCUUUGGAAUAGGACAUCAUAGAGGGUGAGAAUCCCGUAUUUGACCAUUUCUUCCAGCUGUGUGAUACACUUUCAAAGAGUCGGAUUGUUUGGGAAUGCAGUCCAAAAUGGGUGGUAAAUUUCAUCUAAAGCUAAAUAUUGGCGAGAGACCGAUAGCGAACAAGUACCGUGAGGGAAAGAUGAAAAGAACUUUGAAAAGAGAGUUAAACAGUACGUGAAAUUGUCAAAAGGGAAGCGUUUGACACCAGUGCUUGUUUUCUCGAAAAUCAAUUAAAAAUGGCCGGAUUUUGUGUUGUAUUGACUUUAUCAGCUUUCUGCACUUUUUUCUUGUCUUUUUUAAUGCACUUUUCGUUUAACAAGUCAACAUCAAUUUCUUUUGUUGUAAAAGGGUCAUUGGAAGGUGGCUUUCUUUUCGGAGAAAGUGUUUAUAGCCUUUGGCCUUCUGCAAUCGGAGAGAUUGAGGUCUGCAGCGUAGAUCCUUCGGGGUUAGAUACAUUUGUGCUAAGUUAUAGCUUUUUCAUAGACAACAUUGUUGACUAUGAUUUAAUCAUGUAGCUUACUCGCUUAUGCUAUUUUACCUACGCUUAGGAUGUUGAACGCGCACAGAGUCUC